rfam:Schistosoma haematobium scaffold557_4, whole genome shotgun sequence.
ACACUACUGACGAAUCCCAUAAUAGGACGAAACAGCCAUCCAGUGU